GCUCAGGGCCAAUCUUCCUCCAAGAAAAGAGAAAGAAAUAAAAUGAAAUAAAUCAUCAAAAACACUCCUUUCCUCAUGCUGCUCUCAAUUACGAAAAAAGAAAAGAGAACAACUAAAUGACUUGUGAAGGAUUAAGUCCAAUAUAAACAUUUUAAGAAUUUUCAUAAUCUGACCUAACUUUCCUUGCCACUCUUGUUUCUCAUGUCUCCCGUUAUGAGCCAGAGCACUCUACUCAAUGUAUCCAAAUACACAGAAAAAUGAGACUAGAUCUCACUAUUACAUCAUGGAAAAUACAAAACCUGAAUCAAGGAAAAUAACAGACAACAAAAAUAUUACAUUACAGAAAGCAGUGUGGCCACAUUAUAAGCUUAUAAUUAUAGUGCUUAUGGUCCAGAUCACUUCUCACGAAUACAGCCUUCUCCUUUUGUCUUCUGUCCUUUGCUCUAAGGAUCCUAUCACCAGGAGCAUUCCCCGCCGCUCUCUGCCUUCCUAAAUCCUGUCUCAUCAGGAUCCACAACAUUAACUGACUAAUUUGGAAGAAGUGUGAUUAACAGAAUUAUUCUGGACCUGAAGUCCCUUGUUAACACUACAGCAUCAGAUUAGAUUCUCGAUGGACACCAAGUCACUCAAAUUCCAUCUCAGUUUUUACUCUGUAGAUUUGUUCAGUAUACGGUUGAUUAAAGGACCAUUCACCCCAGUUUGGUAGAUAAUUCAACCAGCCUCCAAUCCAAAGAUUGUACAACUUUGAUUUGUAGUAAUUACCAACAGUAAUUACAGAAACAGUUAAAACGUUCAUUGCUAAUAUUGUAACUCUUUGGGAACCUGAUAUAAAUGCAGUUUUAAAAGAACAGGAUAUUUGAAGAUAGUAACGUACACCAUGAUUGACAAGAUUUUGUGGUGAGUGUAGUUUAUUGUCAGGUAUAAUUAAAGCUGUAGAUACUAUUUUGAAAGUACAGACUUUAGGGGGCAAGGGAAGAGAGUUUUUGAAGCAAAGUACAAAUUAGGAAUAAUUACAGUGAUGGUUAUGGAAUAUCAACCUCUAUUUCAUCAUGAUGAGCUCAGUCUCCUUCAAAAUUCAGUUGAGUCCGUGAAAGCAUUAGUGUAAGACAAAAGGCAGCUUUGGCAAAAAUACCUUUGAAAUAUUAAGCAGUAGAGUGAUUGGCAGUGAGCAAACAUAAAAGUGGACGAAAGAGUAAAUGUCUUGAUCACCUACGGAAAUUGUACACUUCAAGUAUCUUAUUAAAAAACCAGUUUUUCAUGUCCAAUGUUGAAUGCACCUGCAAUUGUUGUUUUUAAUCUAUUUUGAUGCCCAAACUGGAUAUAACUAAAUGUUUUAUGGGAGUUUAUACAGGUGAUGAAAUUAUAAAGAAAAGUAAGUGAAAGAUUAUCAGACAGGAGAGUGGAGGCUUCUGGGGUGAUAUCAACAUUGUAGGAUUUGACAUGAGUGGUGGGUCUGUGGGUGCUCACCUCAUUCUCCUUGUUUAUGGUUUAUGCGUGUUGCUGUUUACAAAGCAGUUAUGUAGAAAAUCCGCUGACACUAAUACCUUCGACAGUUCAUUAGCCCAAGGGUGUCUGUUAUGCUUUAACCAGGGCUUUGCUCACGUUCCCUUUUGCCCACAUGAAGCCAGUUAUGCAUUAAGAGAUGACACAAACAUCUCUUGAAACAAGAGAUUUCUUCUUGUUUUCUAGAAGAAAUAGCGAAGCUGGUCUAGCGCUUGGUGAUAUUUCCAAACAGUCCUUUUGUGAAUGGCCGUGAGAAGAUGUCCUUCUUCAGCCAAGGAUGAAGUCUUAUACUUGGUAUUAUUUAAAGUACCUGAUGCCAUGCUACACAACUAGUGUGUGUGCAUCCAUUCAUCUGACAGAUAUUUAUUGACUCACCUACCAGCUGACUCCCUGGGAAGCCAGAGCAGUUUGCCAACUAAUGUGGUUAAUUGGGAUUUGAUAAGUGCUAUAAAGACACCAGAGAUUCAGCAGUUUCUCCCAGCUAUCGAACUUAUUUUGGCUAAUGGAUAUCACUCCCACUCCCAUUUCAAUCUUACAAAGGGACGCUAGAAGAGGAUUGACCAGUCAGAAGGUGGAAACUUAAUAAAAAUUGAGAGUCAGAGACGGGAGGGAAUGAAAGCAGCAGAGGAAGGAGGAGGCAGAGACUGGACAGCCAGCAAGGCCUCAGUGCCCUGCACAGUUUAAGCUGAGCCAGAUGUUCUUCCUGUUUCCUUGCUUGAUCUUUGCUUGAUCCUCCCUCUUGCCGACGCCCUCACCUGGAGGAGUCAAGCCCAGCACAGAUGCCACUGAGACAGGUCAAAGCCAGGGAAAGGUCCUGGGAUCAAAACUUGGCUAAGUAUGAUGCAAACUUCCAAGCAGUCAGAAGUAGAAAGAGUCGGAAGAUAAACCUAACCCAUUUUUGAAGGGGUGCCAAAGGUGAAAAGCAGGAGAACCCAAAUUACUCAUCAAGUCUAAAGGGGGAGCACAGAGCCAGAAGCUGAGAGGAGAAGAGGAGUCAAGCAAGUCAGUGCCAGGAUGGUGCUGGUGUGCACAGGGAGCAGCCACGUCAAUUUACACAUUUGCCAAGGACAAUGAGAAUACAGUUUCCUCCGAAAAAAUCUUAGGCUGAUCUUGGAAGAAAGACCCCCUGGAUCAUCUAAAAAUAAAGUUUUCUAUUUAAAGAUGAAAAAACGGAAGCAAAACCAUUAAGUGCCUUCCCCAAGGUCUUAAAAGAAGUCACCAAGAAGGUGGUCUGGCUCAAGUCUCCUGACCCCAGUUUACUAUUCCCCACAAC